rnacentral:pre_miRNA from 1 species
ACACUUAAAGCUUGAGCUGAAGCCCGCUGAAGUCAGUGGGAGUUUUCCCACUGACUUCAGUGGGCUUUGGAUCAGGAUCUCUAUGA